AACGAACGCUGGCGGCAUGCCUAACACAUGCAAGUCGAACGAUUGCCUUCGGGUGAUAGUGGCGCACGGGUGCGUAACGCGUGGGAAUCUGCCCUUAGGUUCGGAAUAACAGCUGGAAACGGCUGCUAAUACCGGAUGAUAUCGCCAGAUCAAAGAUUUAUCGCCUGAGGAUGAGCCCGCGUUGGAUUAGGUAGUUGGUGGGGUAAAGGCCUACCAAGCCGACGAUCCAUAGCUGGUCUGAGAGGAUGAUCAGCCACACUGGGACUGAGACACGGCCCAGACUCCUACGGGAGGCAGCAGUGGGGUAUAUUGGACAAUGGGCGCAAGCCUGAUCCAGCAAUGCCGCGUGAGUGAUGAGGGCCCUAGGGUUGUAAAGCUCUUUUACCCGGGAAGAUAAUGACUGUACCGGGAGAAUAAGCCCCGGCUAACUCCGUG
rnacentral:rRNA from 1 species